GCCCCUCUAGCUCAGUCGGCAGAGCGCACGGCUUUUAACCGUGUGGUCGCGGGUUCGAGCCCCGCGGGGGGUG
rfam:Guillardia theta CCMP2712 unplaced genomic scaffold GTITHscaffold_9, whole genome shotgun sequence.